rnacentral:snoRNA from 1 species
CAGCAUGUUUCCAAGGGCUGUGGCCCAUCAUGGCCAUGGGCUCUCCAACCACAUGCAGGAGCAGCCUGGAGAGACUUUGACAGCACAAGUCAGCCUAUACCUGCAACUGCCACUCACCUUGCCUAGAACA